rnacentral:sRNA from 1 species
UAAUAUAGGCAUAGAAAAAGGAAGUCCUACUAGUACAGGGCUUCCCGAUAUAGAGCCGUUUAAGACGGUGACUCGCAUUUUAUUAAAUA